rnacentral:antisense_RNA from 2 species
CUUGACCGAGCCGAGCCACAGGGGCCGCGGCCGGUCCUGUCCGUAGGUCGCCAGGAGCGCCUGGGCCUC